UCAGGACUUGACGGGGAUGUUAUCACAAGGCCCAACAAUGGCUUUACACUCAAUUACAUUUAUGGUUUCUCUGAUUCAUCUGAAUGUUUAUGGCUUUGUCACUACCUGGAAGCUAAGAAAAGAAAAAAUAAAAAUUUAAAAGGAAAAAAAACCCACCAAAACGCCCUGUAAUGAACAAUUUGCUGGUGCAAGAUGCUGGGUGACACAGGAGACACUGAGCAACUACUUUAGGUGGUGGGGAAGAGUCAUUUUCUGUGGUGACCAGAGCUAUAUUUGAUUUCUUAGGCAAUGUCAGCUUUUGCAUGCUACAUUCUUUGGCUAAUCGCCAGCGUGAUGUGUAAUACUUUAGCCACACUGUUGUUACUUAAUCCUUUCCUAAUCUGCAAUUUGCGCAAGAGGAGUAAAAUCUAAGCAAAGCCACUGAGAACAUCUCCACUAAUAAUUUAUCAAACUCAACUUUUGUUGUUGGCAGGAGACGGUAGUCAGUGGAGGUGAAUGUUUUCCCACAACAGCACUGUGUGAUAAACACAGGGCAGCUGAUUCAUGCCGCACUUAUUUUCUGUCAUCCACCCUUCGUGUCACCCUGAUAUUUCUUCGAACGAUAAGCCCAUGUGUGCGCUCACAACACACCGCCGAGGUCCCAGUUUCAUCUCUUUCUGCAAAUUACACAUUAAUUAACCAUUAAUAACAGUGGGAGUUGCAUGCAGAAAUCCACGCCCGCUGUGAUGAGACCGUGCCCUUGGUGAGCAAGUGCCUUAUUAAUCACCUGCAUUUCAGCGCUGGAGCUGCCUCCGCAGCCCUGCGAGACAAACGUUUGUCCCUGGAGAGGGAAGUGCACGGGCACUCGCCAGCCCUAAUCCUGCUGUAAAGAAAAGCGUUACCUCUUGCUCUAUGAAUUUUAUUUAUUUUGGUCCUCUGGGCAGUGCUUGCUGUUGUUAGAAACAUGAUUGCUUCAUACAGUUAUGUUAAUGUUUGCAUUUGACAGAAUGUAAUUGAUACUUCGGCUGCUCCGGCUUCAAAGCCAAAUUAGGAAAUAAAGUGCUGCACAUUAGCUUGUUUAGCUGGUUAAAUACUGUAAAUAAAUACAUACAGGGCAAUGAAAACUAAUGAGUUUUCUUUAAGGCAUUUUCUAAAUAGCUGGCUUCAUAAAAAAAAAACAACAACCAAAAACCUAUUCCUACUGUGAACUCAUAUCCUGAAGGAUUUGUCAUUUUGCUGCAACAAAAUUUGAUCCUGGCUGAAAUCUGAACUCUGGAUUUCACUUGGAGAACAGGAUUUUGCAAGUUAUGGAGGAAUCACGCAGCAAACGGACGAGGACUGAAGGCUCCCAGCACUUUUCAGAGAGGCCAGCUAUAUCUUGCGACUUCAAGAUGAAAAUGGUGACCAGGUCUGAGAAAUACAUAAAAGAUUCGUACAGUCCUAUUCUAAAAGGACCAUUUAAAAAUAGACAAAUUAUGACUCUCUCGAAAAGAAUUUAUGUAAAAGAAAUUAUGCAUUGCAUAAAUCAAAGUUCUCACACCCACCAUCAAAGUUUAAUCACUUAAUAUGCUGGUUCUUUCAACAUGCUCUGAAACUUUGUAUACAAUAAUACAAACGAUGGGGUAACGAAGCAAUAGCAAUUUAUUCUGCUGUACAAACGGAUGUUGCAUUAUAAUCCCUAAAGCAACACAGAGGCUGUUUGCAGAUGUUACUACAAUUUGACGUUUAUUUUAAUUGCUCUGCAGCGUAGCUCAUGUGAAAUAAAGUCAUGGGAUGACCUACA